UGGGACUGCUGAAGCAAAAACCUCAUGCCUGUGACUGCCCUGGUCUGUAUGGAGAGAUGAUCCACGUGGACGUUGGCAUGGCAAGUAGUAAAGGAUUAGUAGCAGGCAGCCUCAGCUGUUGGCUUGAGCUUUGCAGAGGGAGAUACUGAAAGAAGAACAAGCCUGGUAUUGCAAGGAGGUAAAAGGCUGGGACAGAAUUGAAAUGGAUGCUGGAGAACAGGCAGAGGCAAUAUAGUGCUGAUGUAUGGUGCCAAACCAACAGCACUGGCAUCCUAGUCCUCACUUUUACUUGUGGAACGUGUGCAGGCAAGGAACAUCUUUUCCCUUCGCCUUGUGGAGUUGCCUGGCGGCAGGAGGAGGCCCGUUCCUGUCUCUUUAUCCUGAGGCUUCCUACUUUCCCUCCCUUUUAUUUACCACCUCUUUCUGUGAACAACUUUGAAAUGGAAAAACAGCCAGUUGGGAACACCUGCCUAUCGACAUUUUCUAUGUUGUUUGCCCAAGACUGGCGAACUCUGAGGCCGUGGGCAGAAGGUAAGUUCUCCAUUUGAUUGAUUAAA
rnacentral:lncRNA from 1 species